rnacentral:sRNA from 1 species
UGUAAAUGCCCUUCCUGGGUGUUUCCUCCCUAGACUUAGCCGCGCCACGAGCGCGGUUCUUUUUUGCCGAUU